rnacentral:miRNA from 1 species
GGUUUUUCUGUGUAGCUCUGGCUGUCCUGGAACUCACUCUGUAGACCAGGAUGGCCUUGAACUCAAAAAGAUCCACCUGCCUCUGCCUCCCCAAGUGCUGGGAUUAAAGGCAUGCACCACCACCGCCUG